rnacentral:sRNA from 1 species
CCCUCCUUGCAAUUUAUUUUAGUGAAGUGAUCAUGAUAUUAAUGACCCAGGAAACUUCAUUUCUCUGCUCUCAACAUAGUAGGAACUUUAAGACUAUUCUUUUACAGGUACAGGUUUGCAGAUUCCGCCAGCAGCACAGCAAGCUCUACAGAUGAGUGGCUCUUUGGCAUUUGGUGCUGUGGCAGAAUUCUCUUUUGUUAUAGAUUUGCAAACAAGACUUUCCCAGCAGACUGAAGCUUCAGCUUUAGCUGCAGCUGCCUCUGUUCAGCCACUUGCAACACAAUGUUUCCAACUCUCUAACAUGUUUAACCCUCAAACAGAAGAAGAAGUUGGAUGGGAUACCGAGAUUAAGGAUGAUGUGAUUGAAGAAUGUAAUAAACAUGGAGGAGUUAUUCAUAUUUAUGUUGACAAAAAUUCAGCUCAGGGCAAUGUGUAUGUGAAGUGCCCAUCAAUUGCUGCAGCUAUUGCUGCUGUCAAUGCAUUGCAUGGCAGGUGGUUUGCUGGUAAAAUGAUAACAGCAGCAUAUGUACCUCUUCCAACUUACCACAACCUGUUUCCUGAUUCUAUGACAGCAACACAACUACUGGUUCCAAGUAGACGAUGAAGGAAGAUAUAGUCCCUUAUGUAUAUAGCUUUUUUUCUUUCUUGAGAAUUCAUCUUGAGUUAUCUUUUAUUUAGAUAAAAAUAAAGAGGCAAGGAUCUACUGUCAUUUGUAUACAAUUUCCUGUUACCUUGAAAAAAUAAAAAUGUUAACAGGAA